rnacentral:rRNA from 1 species
AUUGAACGCUGGCGGCAGGCUUAACACAUGCAAGUCGAGCGAGCGGCGGACGGGUGAGUAAUGUCUGGGAAUCUGCCUGGUGGAGGGGGAUAACUACUGGAAACGGUAGCUAAUACCGCAUACCAUCAGAUGUGCCCAGAUGGGAUUAGCUCGUGGGUGGGGUAAUGGCGCACCUAGGCGACGAUCCCUAGCUGGUCUGAGAGGAUGACCAGCCACACUGGAACUGAGACACGGUCCAGACGCCUACGGGAGGCAGCAGUGGGGAAUAUUGGACAAUGGGCGAAAGCCUGAUGCAGCCAUGCCGCGUGUGUGAAGAAGGCCUUCGGGUUGUAAAGCACUUUAAGCGGGGAGGCGUUACUCGCAGAAGAAGCACCGGCUAACUCCGUGCCAGCAGCCGCGGUAAUAC